rnacentral:tRNA from 1 species
UAGGUUGAAGCACGCUGGCUUGGGUGUUUAGUUGUUAACUAGAAUUUUACGGGAUUGAAGCCCGUCAGCCUAGU